GACGAACGCUGGCGGCGUGCUUAACACAUGCAAGUCGAGCGGUAAGGCUCCUUCGGGAGUACACGAGCGGCGAACGGGUGAGUAACACGCGAGCAAUCUGCCCUUCACUUUGGGAUAAGCACCGGAAACGGUGUCUAAUACCGAAUACGACCACUUCCGGCAUCGGAUGGUGGUGGAAAAGUUCCGGCGGUGAAGGAUGAGCUCGCGGCCUAUCAGCUUGUUGGUGGGGUAACGGCCCACCAAGGCUUCGACGGGUAGCCGGCCUGAGAGGGUGACCGGCCACACUGGGACUGAGACACGGCCCAGACUCCUACGGGAGGCAGCAGUGGGGAAUAUUGGACAAUGGGCGAAAGCCUGAUCCAGCAACGCCGCGUGAGGGAUGACGGCC
rnacentral:rRNA from 1 species